ensembl:ncRNA lncRNA:CR44125 long non-coding RNA:CR44125
AUAGCCCAUCUAUUUGUAUGAUAUUAGUCUAUCUAUUUAGUCGGCGUUGGAAACUAAAUUAUGUGAUAUUUUCAAAAAACUAUUUUCCUGAAAUUCAUAAGACACACAUUGAUUUCAUAUUAGAACUUUUUAUUUUAAGCAAGGAAGGCAAGGGAAGGCUAUACUCCACUGUCAUACCGAUACUCCGAUGAAGGGGUCCAAUCGUCAUCUUACUGAAUGUAAAGCCUUCAAUUUCUGCUUACUAUAGCACUCGCUUGUUCCAGUUAGAAUGAGUGUUCUAGUUGGACUAAGCAUAAAGUACAAUAGUACCAAAGCUUAUGGAAUUUAUUUUCUCUUCGAGUCUAUACAUUUAAAAAUCCAACCAUAAUAUGUCACUCAAUCAUUAUUCCAUUUAACAUUAAAUGUCUUUGUCAUUAAACAUAAGCUUAUUAAAAUGACAACCAGACUCCUGGAAUGACAUUUUGUGGACAUAUGCGCCAACGUUCAAUUCGUUUCUUGUGUGGCAUUGCAGUCAUGUUUUCAAUUGGUACAAUAUUAUUAUAUAUCCUAGCAUACACAUUAUAAAAUAUAAUCAUUUCUGAAGCCAUGCAGACAUUUCUGUAAGUGAAAUACAAAAGUUCAACUUGCAUUUUUUCUUUCGAAUUUAAAAAUGUAUUCCCAGAUGCUAAUCAAUAAAUGCUUUGCGACGCACGGACCGAAACUCUAUAUAUACAUAAGUAUUACUUCAUUGCCAGGCAGCUGAAUUUUACUCGUUGCCUGCAGCUUCGGACAGAAGAAAUAUAAAGCUGGAAAAAAACAAGCCAUUGACAAAAUAAUUAAAAAAUAGCCCCACAGCGCUGUCAAGAAGGACAGUCGCCUUGAAGUCGCACAACAAAACUAAUAAAAGACACAUUUUUCCCCUGAUGGAGCGAAAAAGAAAAUUAUCCAGACCGUUUGGCUUUUAAAAGACAGCAACGCAGCGGAAAACGCAGAUGAAAGAACUACAAGGGGCUGUGAGAACAUGAAUAAAUAAAAAUAAGUGCAGCAUGCCCACUUAAGAGAUGAGCAUGCAAUUUUAAAUAAGAAUUAAGAGCACAAAACUGUUCAACAAGCCAGAUGCAACGACACAAAAGUGGUCGUCCACGAGAGAGGGGAGGAUGAAAAGUCUUGCGUUUGAGGUACACAUUUCAUUGGCCCAUCGAACGGAACUUUUUCAUUCGGUCACUGCGGAGACAAUAAGCAACUGCUUGCGGUCUGAAACCUCUAAACGAAUCUUCAAUUACAAAAUUGAUUACCAUUGAAAAUUGAGAAUUAAGUACAGUUUUGAGUUUUCAGCAUAAUUGCAGCUGAUUUCUGUUGAGGGGCGAUCAAAGUGCACUGUCAUAAGACGUAAGUUGGAGUAAGAAGGGGCAAUUGUUCUGCUGUAUUUGCUUUGGGAAUAAUAAAAUCCAAGCAGUCACUAGCGGACAACCCGUCAAUUCGGUUUGGGCCCUGGAGAAGCAAUCAAGCUGGACCACAGUGGGAAAUUCUAGUAAGGCAAUAGGAGUGAGAUUGCGGCUAUAUUUUAUGUCCAUGUACAUUUUUUAUUUAUAUUUGUCGAUUUUUUAUUGAAAACCUGCCAAC